rnacentral:rRNA from 1 species
UACGGAGGGUGCAAGCGUUAAUCGGAAUUACUGGGCGUAAAGCGCACGCAGGUGGCUGAGUCAGUCGAUUGUGAAAGCCCUGGGCUUAACCUGGGAAUUGCAGUCGAUACUACUCGGCUUGAGUAUGGGAGAGGGCAGUGGAAUUCUCGGUGUAGCGGUGAAAUGCGUAGAUAUCGAGAGGAACACCGGUGGCGAAGGCGGCAUCCUGGACCGGUAUUGACGCUGAGGCGCGAAAGCUAGGGGAGCAAACGGG